GAGCGGUAAGGCUCCUUCGGGAGUACACGAGCGGCGAACGGGUGAGUAACACGUGAGUAACCUGCCCUUCUCAUCGGAAUAAGCGUUGGAAACGACGUCUAAUGCCGAAUAUGACUUCGGAAGGCAUCUUCUGAAGUGGAAAGCUCCGGCGGAGAAGGAUGGACUCGCGGCCUAUCAGCUUGUUGGUGAGGUAAUGGCUCACCAAGGCGAUGACGGGUAGCCGGCCUGAGAGGGUGACCGGCCACACUGGGACUGAGACACGGCCCAGACUCCUACGGGAGGCAGCAGUGGGGAAUAUUGGACAAUGGGCGAAAGCCUGAUCCAGCAACGCCGCGUGAGGGAUGACGGCCUUCGGGUUGUAAACCUCUUUCAGUAGGGACGAAGCGAAAGUGACGGUACCUACAGAAGAAGGACCGGCCAACUACGUGCCAGCAGCCGCGGUAAUACGUAGGGUCCGAGCGUUGUCCGGAAUUAUUGGGCGUAAAGGGCUCGUAGGCGGUUUGUCGCGUCGGGAGUGAAAACUCAGGGCUCAACCCUGAGCGUGCUUCCGAUACGGGCAGACUAGAGGUAUGCAGG
rnacentral:rRNA from 1 species